CCCGUGAACCAUCGAGUCUUUGAACGCAAGUUGCGCUUGAAUCCAUUAGGUUGAAGGCAUGUCUGUCUGGGCGUCUCAC
rnacentral:rRNA from 1 species